UGGGGAAUAUUGGACAAUGGGCGCAAGCCUGAUCCAGCCAUGCCGCGUGAGUGAUGAAGGCCCUAGGGUUGUAAAGCUCUUUCACCGGUGAAGAUAAUGACGGUAACCGGAGAAGAAGCCCCGGCUAACUUCGUGCCAGCAGCCGCGGUAAUACGAAGGGGGCUAGCGUUGUUCGGAAUUACUGGGCGUAAAGCGCACGUAGGCGGAGCGAUCAGUUAGGGGUGAAAUCCCGGGGCUCAACCCCGGAACUGCCUCUAAUACUGUCGAUCUGGAGUUCGAGAGAGGUGAGUGGAAUUCCGAGUGUAGAGGUGAAAUUCGUAGAUAUUCGGAGGAACGCCAGUGGCGAAGGCGGCUCACUGGCUCGAUACUGACGCUGAGGUGCGAAAGCGUGGGGAGCAAAC
rnacentral:rRNA from 1 species